AGCCUAUAGAAUUAUAUAUAAUUAUUAUAGUUUAUCCUUAUCUCUGUUUCACGGAGAGGUAAAUGAUGACCAGGGAGUUACAAAGCUUCAUAAGUUUCUCGGAAUGUGUAUUGGAGAAAAAAUAACAGUCUGGCUAAAGAGAUGAAGAGCUCAUGAGGGCGUGUCUCAAUUUAAACAAGAGUAGCAUUGGCAAUUGUUGUCCUUAUCAGCGGCCGACAAGGCGGAAUUGGAACUGCUGCUCCUGACCACCUCUACUCCACGCUAGGCUUAGGGGCUGGAGUGACCCAAGCCCUCAGGGACCUGCAGCUGCUGAAGUCCUCUCAGCACCUGCAAUAUCCCAGAGGGCAAAGACAGGGCCAAAUACUGGAUUCUGGAUUCUCUUCAUUGUUGUCCCCCUGCAAGUGGAGAGGUAUCCAGGCUGGGCCUUGUCCUAAGAUAUGACGGAACUGAAUUCUUCCAGCAAGCAUGUGAGCUUGGAAGAGAACACCAUGCGCCACACGAGAAUGCAUACUGGCCAACACCCUGUGCAAAGAUCCAGAGAAGCUGUGCUCAGAUUCCUGACUCAUGAAAAUAGUGAAUUUAUAAAUGUAUAUUGUUUUAAGAUGCUAAAUUUGUGGUGAUGUGUUACACGGCAGUAGAAAACUAAUAGAGAUAAAACUUGACAUUUGAAGUGCAUCACAUAAUGAAAUUAGUAGAUGAGAAUCUCUCUAGAAACAAGUAAAAUUUUGAGUUAAAAUGAGAGACUGGACAUAUAAUUCCUCCUCCCUCCAAAAUC
rnacentral:lncRNA from 1 species